GGGCUUGUAGCUCAGCUUGGCUAGAGCACCGGACUCUUAAUCCGGGUGUCGGGGGUUCGAAUCCCCUCAAGCCCG
rnacentral:tRNA from 1 species